rnacentral:rRNA from 1 species
AUUGAACGCCGGCGGCAGGCCUAACACAUGCAAGUCGAGCGGAUGAGAGGAGCUUGCUUCUCGAUUCAGCGGCGGACGGGUGAGUAAUGCCUAGGAAUCUGCCUGGUAGUGGGGGACAACGUUUCGAAAGGAACGCUAAUACCGCAUACGUCCUACGGGAGAAAGCAGGGGACCUUCGGGCCUUGCGCUAUCAGAUGAGCCUAGGUCGGAUUAGCUAGUUGGUGAGGUAAUGGCUCACCAAGGCGACGAUCCGUAACUGGUCUGAGAGGAUGAUAAGUCACACUGGAACUGAGACACGGUCCAGACUCCUACGGGAGGCAGCAGUGGGGAAUAUUGGACAAUGGGCGAAAGCCUGAUCCAGCCAUGCCGCGUGUGUGAAGAAGGUCUUCGGAUUGUAAAGCACUUUAAGUUGGGAGGAAGGGUUGUAGAUUAAUACUCUGCAAUUUUGACGUUACCGACAGAAUAAGCACCGGCUAACUCUGUGCCAGCCGCCGCCGUAAUAC